GCUCUCUGUCCUGCGUUAGUCAUUUGGAUCUCCGCUUUUAAGCAGGGGCUGUAUGCAGCAGAAGGAAACAUUGCACAUGGAAAGAGGAAUGAACAGGAUUAUUUUCUUCUGCCCUAUAUAGAGAAGAUUCAGCUUUUAUAAUGAGCAGCUUUUACAAGGAAUGCGGUAGAUUUGGAUGCAACGUGAGUAUGACGCAUGCUAGGCAUAAAAGGCAAGUCAUAAGAUGAUAUCGUCUGAUGCACUUUUUCGGAUGUUUCACUUUAAAAUACCAUUUCUUAAAGACCUUGAUUCUGGAAAGGGCAAAGCCUGCCUGAGCAAAGAGUAUAGCUUUACCUCCUUCAGAAAACCUGUAUUAAGUAUUUCUUUCCCCUAAUCCCAGCAAAUGUGUGGGAAGUGACUAUGAGGAUUUUAUAAGCAGGGUGAAUAAUUGCAAAUAUGCUGGAUACCAGUAAGUAAUUUGGCUUGCCUAGAUGGAAUGGUCAAAGAAGCGAUUCAUGCAUUUUUUUUUUUUUAAAUGUUAAAGCUGUCUAGUGAUUGAUUUGGGGAUGGUUUAAGAUUUAGACAAGGACUUACUUUCUUCUCUAAUGCUUCCAGAGCCUGAGAAAACCUACACUAGAGCAAAUUUGGCAGAUUUUCUGCUCUUCUUUCAUCUGAUCUACGUGAAACGUACAAACAGCGGGAUUAAGAAAUUUUAGCUGCCUAAGCCGACUUUUCCACUCUCUAGGGGGUCUCCUGACACUUUGGAAAGGGAUGAUGAAUCUGAUAAAUGCUUUUCAACAGGUAUUUAUCUUCCUUUCCUUCUCUCCAGAGCUGUCCACCAAGGAGCCUCAAGUUACUUGGACCAUGUUCAAAGGCCCGUGUGUUGAAAAUGGCUUCCAGGUUUCUGCAGUCAGUUAUUCUAACAUCAAGAAACCUUUCUCUAAAGACAGUAAUGAAGACAAGCAGCAGACUGUGAAAAGCACUGGGCUGGACCUGACCAGGCAUACAAAGUCAGGGCUUCCAAACACCUUCAUGGGGGAAAUGAAGGUUUAUUCAUUGCAUUCAACUGUGCUGCAAUGGGGGGAAUAAUAUUUUUCACUUCCAGUAAAAAAUGGUUCUUAUACUUAAAAAUACAGCCUGAUUUUCUGUAUAUUAGUCAAGUUAAAGUCUUUCAGAAGGUUUUGUCUGAUUUUGUUUUUGUCACCGAUAUCCAUGCCAGGCUAUAACUCCAAAUUCUCAGCUAAUGAAUGGUAAUAAAGAACUGAUUUUUACUCAAGAUCUGUUCAGGCAGUAGGAAUUUGAGACUGAAGAGGGGGCCUUUUCAUUAUUUCAUUGUCCUUCUCCAUCUGACCUCAUACCUCACUGUGGCCUCUGACGUUUCCACUGAACAUUGCAUUUCAUACGAACUGUUCUCUCACCAAGAUAAA